CGGGGUGAUGCACUCACCGAUGUUGGCGUGCCGGGCGGCCGCGGGCGUCCCUCUGCUCUGCAGGUUGUGCAGCAUGGGGCUGUCGAAAGGCGAAGAAGUCCAAGUGGUGGCCAUCUCGGGGCUCACGUACGCCGGAUCCCCCAGGUUGAACCCCUCCGCCGGGCUGAAUUUAGCAGCAGGAGAGAUAACCAGGAGAUAAGGGCUGAUACCGGGCAGGACAGAGGGAGAGCGGCCGAGGGAAGGGGGAGAAGCUGGAGGCCGAGACCCGCGGCGCUUCAGGAGCGGAGAAGAAUUGCGAUGGAAAACGGUUACGGCUUUGCGAGCAGCCCAGCCAGGAGCGGAGAUCUCAAGGAGCGGCUUUGGCUUCGCCUUGCCCGGAGCCCGUCGGCCCAAUAACAACAAAACGGAGCCACAAAAACCAGAACCCGGACCCGCGGGUGAGCGGGAGGACCCCGCAGCGCCGAGCAUCGAAAACGCUGCGGGACCAAAGGAGCAGGCGGGAGGGGGAAGGGGGAAACCGAGCCCUUGUCGUACCCCCUCCCCUCCAAAAUAUAUAUAGAGAUAUUAAUCAUAAACAUUAAAAACGAAAGCAGGAGUUGGGAUGAGGCGGAGCGCGGGGAAACUCGAUCACCCGGUCAAUCAAUAAAUCAAUAAGUCAAUCUCAGCUCGGCACCGGAGUGAACUGCUGCG